rnacentral:rRNA from 1 species
AGCAGCCGCGGUAAUUCCAGCUCCAAUAGCGUAUAUUAAAGUUGUUGCAGUUAAAAAGCUCGUAGUUGAAUUUCGGGAUCAAUAUGUUGGUCGUGCCUUGGUACGUACUGGCGUCAUUGGUUUCUACCUUCUGAAGAACCUCGAUGUCAUUAAUUUGGUGUCCUGGGGAAUCAGGACUGUUACUUUGAAAAAAUUAGAGUGUUUAAAGCAGGCUCACGCUUGAAUACAUUAGCAUGGAAUAAUGAAAUAGGACGUUUGAUUCUAUUUUGUUGGUUUCUAGGAUCGACGUAAUGAUUAAUAGGGAUAGUUGGGGGCAUUAGUAUUCAAUUGUCAGAGGUGAAAUUCUUGGAUUUAUUGAAGACUAACUACUGCGAAAGCAUUUGCCAAGGAUGUUUUCAUUAAUCAAGAACGAAAGUUAGGGGAUCGAAGACGAUCAGAUACCGUCGUAGU